rnacentral:misc_RNA from 1 species
UCCGGUUUAACACCGGCAGUCUCCAUAGAGUGCCCAACUAAAUGAUGGCAACUAGGGAUAAGGGUUGCGCUCGUUAAGGGACUUAACCCGACAUCUCACGAUACGAGCUGACGACAGCCAUGCAGCACCUGUCCUCCGGUCCCCGAAGGGAAAGCCCUAUCUCUAGGGUUGUCCGGAAAUGUCAAGACCAGGUAAGGUUCUUCGCGUAGCAUCGAAUUAAACCACAUGCUCCACCGCUUGUGCGGGCCCCCGUCAAUUCCUUUGAGUUUUAACCUUGCGGCCGUACUUCCCAGGCGGGGUACUUACUGCGUUAGCUGCGACACUGCAGGGGUCAAUUCCCGCAACAUCUAGUACCCAUCGUUUACGGCGUGGACUAC